AUUGAACGCUGGCGGCAGGCCUAACACAUGCAAGUCGAGCGAGCGGCGGACGGGUGAGUAAUGUAUGGGGACUGCCCGAUAGAGGGGGAUAACUACUGGAAAAGGUAGCUAAUACCGCAUACUAUCGGAUAACCCAUAUGGGAUUAGCUAGUAGGUGAGGUAAUGGCUCACCUAGGCGAAGAUCCCUAGCUGGUCUGAGAGGAAGAUCAGCCACGCUGGGGCUGAGACACGGCCCAGACUCCUACGGAGGCAGCAGUGGGGAAUAUUGCACGAUGGACGCGAGACUAAUGCAGCCAUGCCGCGUGUAUGAAGAAGGCCCUAGGGUUGAAGAAUGAUUUCAGUCGGAAGGCGUUACCGGCAGAAGAAGCACCGGCUAACUCCGUGCCAGCAGCCGCGGUAAUUC
rnacentral:rRNA from 1 species